ACUGGAAACGGUGAGUAAUACCGCAUACGCCCUUCGGGGAAAGAGUUUAUCGGAGAAGGAUCGGCCGCGGUUAGAUUAGAUAGUUGGUGGGUAACGGCCUACCAAGUCUACGAUCUAUAGCUGGUUUUAGAGGAUGAUCAGCAACACUGGGACUGAGACACGGCCCAGACUCCUACGGGAGGCAGCAGUGGGGAAUCUUAGACAAUGGGCGCAAGCCUGAUCUAGCCAUGCCGCGUGUGUGAUGAAGGUCUUAGGAUCGUAAAGCACUUUCGCCAGGGAUGAUAAUGACAGUACCUGGUAAAGAAACCCCGGCUAACUCCGUG
rnacentral:rRNA from 1 species